rnacentral:rRNA from 1 species
UGAGAGUGGGUAGUCCGCACGAGCGCACCCUAUUUUUAGUUGCUACCAUUUAGUUGGGCACUCUAAAAAAACUGCCAGCUGAUAAGCUGGAGGAAGGCGGGGAUGACGUCUAGUCCUCAUGGCCCUUACGUGUUGGGCUACACACGUGCUACAAUGGUACUUACAGUGAGAAGCAAAGAGGCGACUCUAAGCCAAUCCCAAAAAGGUACCUCAGUUCGGAUUGUACUCUGCAACUCGAGUACAUGAAGCUGGAAUUACUAGUAAUCGCGGAUCAGCGCGCCGCGGUGAAUACGUUCCCGGGUCUUGUACACACCGCCCGUCACACCAUGGAAGCUGGGGGUACCUAAAGUCGGUAACCGAAAGGAACUGCCUAGGGUAAAACUGGUAACUGGGGCUAAGUCGUAACAAGGUAACCGUACCGGAAGGUGCGGCUGGAACACCUCCUUUCU